UCCGAGUUGACCCCGGCAGUCUCCUAUGAGUCCCCGGCUUGAACCGCUGGCAACAUAGGACAAGGGUUGCGCUCGUUGCGGGACUUAUCCCAACAUCUCACGACACGAGCUGACGACAGCCAUGCAGCACCUGUGUUCCCGCCAGCCGAACUGAAGGAUCCUGUCUCCAGGAUCCACACGGGACAUGUCAAAGGCUGGUAAGGUUCUGCGCGUUGCUUCGAACUAAACCACAUGCUCCACCGCUUGUGCAGGCCCCCGUCAAUUUCUUUGAGUUUUAACCUUGCGGCCGUACUCCCCAGGCGGAUGACUUAACGCGUUAGCUGCGCCACCGAAACUCCAUGAGCCCCGACAGCUAGUCAUCAUCGUUUACGGCGUGGACUAC
rnacentral:misc_RNA from 1 species